AUUGAACGCUGGCGGCAGGCCUAACACAUGCAAGUCGAACGGUAACAGGAAGAAGCUUGCUUCUUUGCUGACGAGUGGCGGACGGGUGAGUAAUGUCUGGGAAACUGCCUGAUGGAGGGGGAUAACUACUGGAAACGGUAGCUAAUACCGCAUAACGUCGCAAGACCAAAGAGGGGGACCUUCGGGCCUCUUGCCCUCGGAUGUGCCCAGAUGGGAUUAGCUAGUAGGUGGGGUAACGGCUCACCUAGGCGACGAUCCCUAGCUGGUCUGAGAGGAUGACCAGCCACACUGGAACUGAGACACGGUCCAGACUCCUACGGGAGGCAGCAGUGGGGAAUAUUGCACAAUGGGCGCAAGCCUGAUGCAGCCAUGCCGCGUGUAUGAAGAAGGCCUUCGGGUUGUAAAGUACUUUCAGCGGGGAGGAAGGGAGUAAAGUUAAUACCUUGGCGCAUUGACGUUACCCGCAGAAGAAGCACCGGCUAACUCCGUG
rnacentral:rRNA from 1 species